UACGGAGGGUGCGAGCGUUGUCCGGAAUCAUUGGGCGUAAAGGGCGCGUAGGUGGCCCGGUCAGUCCGUGGUGAAAGCGCGGGGCUCAACCCCGCGUCGGCCAUGGAUACUGCUGGGGCUGGAGCACUGUAGAGGCAGGCGGAAUUCCGGGUGUAGCGGUGGAAUGCGUAGAGAUCCGGAAGAACACCGGUGGCGAAGGCGGCCUGCUGGGGCAGUUGCUGACACUGAGGCGCGACAGCGUGGGGAGCAAACAGG
rnacentral:rRNA from 1 species